AUUGAACGCUGGCGGCAGGCCUAACACCUGCAAGUCGAACGAGUGGCGGACGGGUGAGUAAUGUCUGGGACACUGCCUGAUGGCGGGGGCUAACUACUGGAAACGGUAGCUAAUCCCGCAUACCAUCCGAUGUUCCCAGAUGGGAUUAGCUAGUUGGUGGGGUAACGGCUCACCAAGGCGCCGAUCCCUAGCUGGUCUGAGGGGAUGACCGGCCACACUGGAACUGAGACACGGUCCAGACGCCUACGGGAGGCAGCAGUGGUGAAUAUUGCACAAUGGGCGCAAGCCUGAUGCAGCCAUGCCGCGUGUAUGAAGAAGGCCUUCGGGUUGUAAAGUACUUUCAGCGGGGAGGCGUUACCCGCAGAAGAAGCACCGGCUAACUCCGUGCCAGCAGCCGCGGUAAUUC
rnacentral:rRNA from 1 species